UCACCCUGCCUGCCCAGCCGUGCCUCACCCUGCCCUGCCCUGCCUCACCCUGCCCUGCCCUGCCUCACCCUGCCGUGCCCUACCCAGAGAAAGAAGAUACUGGUACUAGGGUCAACUGGAUGUUAGUGAUGAACAUUUGACCAACUUUUCUGAUUUGGUUUUACUAACACCAGAAGGAGUGAAUAUAUUUGGACGAAACUUUGUGAAAAUGUUAUAGACAAUCUAUUGUUAAUAUUUAGAAGUUGCCAUCUGGUUAGGUUAGCUUAGAUUAGGUUAAGUUAGUUUUUAUUUAGUUUUGAGGUUUUUACAUUGUUUGAUCUCCCAUUUUUUUAAUAGCUCAACUACUGCUAAUUUCAGACGACAAUAAAGGUCAUAUUUGUAUUUAACUUGAUGAUUUAUACUAUAAAAACCCAUUUUCAAAAGUCAUUUAGGUGGUGGCACCUUCCAAAUAUUAACCGUAGUCUACCUAACUUACCAAAAUAACCGGUAAAUUUGCCAUUUUCAACCAAUAUGGCUCUCGAGCUUAGCAAUGUGUUUGGUAAAUUUAUUGACCAACUCCCAACUCCCUUUGAAGCUUAAAAUUUGAUUCAUUAAGUCAUUUGAUUCUACCGUAACAUCCAUUUAUGUCAUAAAUCUCCUGUUUCAUAGUUAUGACCCCCAAACCUAACCUAACAUCUCUGAAUGGAUUCUCGUAUCCAUUUACUGUAUCUUUUUAAUAGAAUGUAAUUAACAUCUCCACAAAGUUUCUUAACAAUCUAUUAACUCCUUCUGCUUAGUCUAAAAAUCUACCUUACCGACAACCAGACAAUUAUCCUCCAUGUAUUUUUAAUGAAACACAUUUUUAGACAUUCUGGGGGACUCUACCAAGGCCACCUAAAAGCGAAGGCCUGGGUCUCCCGUGCAAAUCUGGUGAUGACGUCACAACUGAAGGCAGACAGCACCAGUCUCCUAAACACGUAGUGAGAGAGUGGAGGAACUUAUCGGUCUACAGUACUUUUAUUCUCAUUUCUCUUUUUCUGGACUGGAUUUCAUCAAAGUGCGUGACAGAGACGUGACCGAUCGCCCAAGCGGCUAACAAGUCGAUCAGUGGCGAAGAGGAUAAAAGUAAAAGCGAGUUAAAGACUAAACCUUGGGGAACUGAACUACUACACCAUCACAACUGAAAAUGAUAACUGGAACCUGAGACAAAGACCUGCCAUUGUAGAUCUUCAUUCCAAUGUACACUAUAAAACCACCACCACCAGCACCACUAUCACCAGUAUCACCACCUGCAUCAUCACCACUACUAGCAUCACCACAUAUGGCAAGCUAAGCUAUAGGAGCAGCUCUCAUAGCCUAUAGAGUAAAUCUUUCUGCCUGUCACACUGUGGACAAGUUGUUUAUAACUGUGUUCCUCUUAGUCAUUUGUCUUUGUCUGUCUUUUUAUUUAUGGGGGAUGAGAACCACAAAAUUUAAUAAAUCAUCAUCCUGUAUUUUGUAUACCGUACAUAUAUUGAACCUUUAUGUGUCUUGAUAUUUUGUUUUAAGAAAAAUUUAUUUGUGAGGAAUGCAACUGUUGUACACAAAAUUAACGUAAAUUUCUCGUCACUCAUUCAAUCACGGUAUAGUACUUAUGUAGUUUCAUGUCCCUAUCUGUCUUUAUGUGCCUUUUAAUAUAUCUAUCAUUUUAGCUAUCCAUUAUCUAUCAGUAUCUAUAUGUCUAUCAAUACCUAUCUCACUGUUUUAUUAUAUCUAUCAAUCAAUUUAUCAAUACAAGUACAGUAUUUGUCAGUCUGUCAAUCAAGGCUGGCUCUAGCUUCUGAAGGGCCCUAUGCAAGAUAAUGGUUGGGCCACCCAUUCCUUAGAGCCUUAGACAACCCUGUAGGGGUGGGUAAUGUUAUUAUUUACACUGUUGUCACCAUUUUAUAAGGGAGCACAUUUUGAGAUUACUGCUCCCUUACAAUUUUAUAUAGCCUGAAUAUAUAUUCUUUCUUCAUCAAUUUACUUAUUUUUCUCCGUUCUUUUUUGUCUUCUUUCUUUCUUUUCUUUAUUUCUUUAUAAUUGUUUCUGUUUUAUUUUCUACUUCAAACACUCUUUCUUUCAAUGUCUUACUUUAUUAAUUCCUUAUGUUAUUUAUUUCCUGGUUAUUUUACUUCUCAUACAAAUAACCCCUAGCUUCUUAAUGUACUCCUCAGUUACCCACAAAAGAAGCGGGAGGUGAAGUUUUUCGACUGUGUGUUGCUCUCGUGCCACCCUUAUCACCAACAUACCCGCACCAUUUGAGCUUUUUCACUUUAUAUUAAGGAUGCCACACCAAGUAAAACUCAAGAAACAGCUCGCAGAAGCACUGAAGAAGCACUGGAGUGAAGAGAGAAAGAGGAUGAAUGCAUCAUUAUCACGAAGAGAAGAGUAAGUAAUGUCUUCGGGCCCUACAUAUCAUGCGGUGAUGACAGCUGUUCAAUUCAGUAUGAAGCAGAUGGGUUUGAUAGCACCAUCAAGCUAAAUUGUGAAAUAUGUGACAAGAAGAUAAAUAACAAGCCUGACCGGGUCUCCCAAGACAUGCUGCCAGAAGGGUCACCUGUCCUCAAGACAAAUGUGAGGCUAGUUUAUUUGUCAGUGACUGAUGAUUAUGGUCUAGCUGGACUAAGAAGAAUCCAGGGUGUACUUGGAAUGCCACCUAUGGGUAACUACAAGUAUUACCAAUACUUGAAAUGGAUCACUGGUGCAAUGAAGAAUCAUUUUAAGGAGAAACAAGAAGACGGUGUUUUAAACAUUGACAUAUCAUAUGAUGGCACAUGGAUGAAACGAGGUCACACUUCGAAGACAGGCAUGGGAGUAAUAAUUGAAGUAUGCACUGGAUUUGUUGUGGGUUUCGAAAUAAUGAACAAGUACUGUUUUGCCUGCAGUAUCAAGGAAAAUCAGCCAAUCACGGAUCUCAUUAUAUUCACUCGUGGGAUUUUACUACUGGGAUUGUAAACAUAGGAGAAAGUUUCCAAGUACAGUAGUGUAGUAAUUUAUUAUUUCUUAGGUGUACAGUACAGGGAACCUUUGAGGCAACAUUACCUGUUUAACUAUUUUAAUUCAUUCAAACUAGAUAAGCACAUUCAUUUAAGCCCCCCCCCCCCAAAUUUGCUAAAUGUUAAAUUUUGUUACUAAUUUAUUUAUCCUUAUGAAAUUGCAGUACUGUACUUUCAAAAGUUAAUGUAGAAAUGUAGAAUAAAAGUUACAAUGUUAAUAUUUCCAAUUAAAAGGUUUCAAAGCAAGAUAUUUUCACA